CCCUGGGAGACCAAGCCCAGGGAGGAGCUUGCAAGACAAGCAGAAGGUCUGGGGGAUUUACUGUUAUCAGCCUGGAGUCUCCUUCCAUCCAGGGAUGACUUUGCAAUGUAGCAGCCCACAGAUGGUCGCUGGGUUCUCAUGACUGUACAAUCAUCUCUAUAGGCUAUAUGAGAUAGUGCUCCAAGGCUCCGCUGGACCCCUACUCAGGAGCAAACCACUCUGAGCAGAAGAAAUGUGAAGAAUUAACAGGCGGUUCCAGCCAGCACCUCACCUCUGCAUGUCCUUCCUGGAUGCCUUCCGCUGUGUGCUACUUGUGAAUACCAGGCCUAGCCAGCCCUGGACACAGCAGUCAGUGACAGUACCACAAGCCCUCCUCCCUCUCCCACACCUCCUCCCUCAGCUGCUUCUCCAGGAGGCCACGCAACGCAACAACGUGGGAUCUUUUGCCAGGAUGCUCAAUGAACAGGAAAGUGGGAGGGGCCACAGCAGUUGCCUGUCACCUUCACCACAGCUGAGGCUGUGCCCCCAUCUAGUCGCACUCUGGCAGCAGCUGCCACAGCAACCACACCCUCAGCCCAAGUUCCAAGAGUCAAGUGGCUGUCCCCAGUGGCCCUGUGUGUUGACAGAGUUGAAACAGAUGGAAAAUGACUCAAUAGAAAAUUGACUGAGUCAGAACCUCAAGACCGUGCCUCUCUCCGGGCCGGCCCGUUCCAUUUCUGCGUCUGUGGAUUACCAAAUCUGGGUUCUAGCUGUGUGUUGGAUUCAGGGAAGAAUGAAACGAACUUAGGAAGAUAGUAUCGUGGCAGUUCUUCAGGCACUGUGUGUGGCAGACAGACAGAUAAGCCCAGGAAGUCACAGGUCCAUAUCACAUGGAUUCCGGGGUUUCUGCCAAGCUUUGAGACUGCUUCCCGAUGUACCGCAGUCUCAGGUUCCGUGAGAUUGGAUUGGGGCAGGCGCUGUGUUCCACUCACCAGAGGUCUUAGGAUCCCGUGGGGAGUCCCGUGUGGGCCCUUCAGGGUGUUGGGCAAGACUCUGCUGGCAAGGUAGCCUGGGGCUCGAGUCGAGCGGAAGGGGCUUGUGCCCAGAUCAGGCCCGGGUAGCCUGCUUCCCUAUGUACUGCAGUCUCAGGUUCCGCGCGAUU
rnacentral:lncRNA from 1 species